CUGGGGGGCGGUGCUAAUACAUGCAGUCGAGCGAACAGAUGAGAAGCUUGCUUCUCUGAUGUUAGCGGCGGACGGGUGAGUAACACGUGGGUAACCUACCUAUAAGACUGGGAUAACUCCGGGAAACCGGGGCUAAUACCGGAUAAUAUUUUGAACCGCAUGGUUCAAUAGUGAAAGACGGUUUCGGCUGUCACUUAUAGAUGGACCCGCGCCGUAUUAGCUAGUUGGUAAGGUAACGGCUUACCAAGGCGACGAUACGUAGCCGACCUGAGAGGGUGAUCGGCCACACUGGAACUGAGACACGGUCCAGACUCCUACGGGAGGCAGCAGUAGGGAAUCUUCCGCAAUGGGCGAAAGCCUGACGGAGCAACGCCGCGUGAGUGAUGAAGGUCUUCGGAUCGUAAAACUCUGUUGUUAGGGAAGAACAAAUUUGUUAGUAACUGAACAAGUCUUGACGGUACCUAACCAGAAAGCCACGGCUAACUACGUGCCAGCAGCCGCGGUAAUACGUAGGUGGCAAGCGUUAUCCGGAAUUAUUGGGCGUAAAGCGCGCGUAGGCGGUUUCUUAAGUCUGAUGUGAAAGCCCACGGCUCAACCGUGGAGGGUCAUUGGAAACUGGGAAACUUGAGUGCAGAAGAGGAGAGUGGAAUUCCAUGUGUAGCGGUGAAAUGCGCAGAGAUAUGGAGGAACACCAGUGGCGAAGGCGGCUCUCUGGUCUGUAACUGACGCUGAUGUGCGAAAGCGUGGGGAUCAAACAGGAUUAGAUACCCUGGUAGUCCACGCCGUAAACGAUGAGUGCUAAGUGUUAGGGGGUUUCCGCCCCUUAGUGCUGCAGCUAACGCAUUAAGCACUCCGCCUGGGGAGUACGACCGCAAGGUUGAAACUCAAAGGAAUUGACGGGGACCCGCACAAGCGGUGGAGCAUGUGGUUUAAUUCGAAGCAACGCGAAGAACCUUACCAAAUCUUGACAUCCUUUGACCGCUCUAGAGAUAGAGUCUUCCCCUUCGGGGGACAAAGUGACAGGUGGUGCAUGGUUGUCGUCAGCUCGUGUCGUGAGAUGUUGGGUUAAGUCCCGCAACGAGCGCAACCCUUAAGCUUAGUUGCCAUCAUUAAGUUGGGCACUCUAGGUUGACUGCCGGUGACAAACCGGAGGAAGGUGGGGAUGACGUCAAAUCAUCAUGCCCCUUAUGAUUUGGGCUACACACGUGCUACAAUGGAUAAUACAAAGGGCAGCGAAUCCGCGAGGCCAAGCAAAUCCCAUAAAAUUAUUCUCAGUUCGGAUUGUAGUCUGCAACUCGACUACAUGAAGCUGGAAUCGCUAGUAAUCGUAGAUCAGCAUGCUACGGUGAAUACGUUCCCGGGUCUUGUACACACCGCCCGUCACACCACGAGAGUUUGUAACACCCGAAGCCGGUGGAGUAACCUUUUAGGAGCUAGCCGUCGAAGGUGGACAAAGGG
rnacentral:rRNA from 2 species